CUUGACCGAGCCGAGCAGCAGGGGCUGGUCGGGGGCGCGGUCCUGACCGUAGGUGGCCAGCAGCGCCUGGGCCUC
rnacentral:antisense_RNA from 1 species